UACGGAGGGUGCGAGCGUUGUCCGGAAUCACUGGGCGUAAAGGGCGCGUAGGUGGCACGGCAAGCGUGCGGUGAAAGCCCGGGGCUCAACUCCGGGUCGGCCGUGCGAACUGCCGUGCUGGAGCAUGGUAGAGGCAGGUGGAAUUCCGGGUGUAGCGGUGGAAUGCGUAGAGAUCCGGAAGAACACCGGUGGCGAAGGCGGCCUGCUGGGCCAUGGCUGACACUGAGGCGCGACAGCGUGGGGAGCAAACAGG
rnacentral:rRNA from 1 species